UUUCUUCUUUAAACCAGACAGGAGAAUUUACAGAUUUAUGUGAAUUUUGUAAAGAGCCGCGUUUUAUACAGGCAGUUUCUGCAAUGGGACCACCGUCUACCCCCACACUGUCGCUAGACUGCACUAGACCAUCAGCAUGUUCCCCGCCUGGAAAAGUUUGUAAUACGAGUGACACCAUCCCAAAAGUAUGCCCAACAACAACUGCACCAACAACGACUACAGCAGAUCCCAAAACUACAAAGAGCCCCUGUGGAAAGAAGCAGCAUACUCGUCCAUCAAUUUAGGCAAAGACAACAGAAAACAAUCGUUGAA